CCUACGGGGGGCAGCAGUGGGGAAUAUUGCACAAUGGGGGAAACCCUGAUGCAGCGACGCCGCGUGAGUGAAGAAGUAUCUCGGUAUGUAAAGCUCUAUCAGCAGGGAAGAAAAUGACGGUACCUGACUAAGAAGCCCCGGCUAAAUACGUGCCAGCAGCCGCGGUAAUACGUAUGGUGCAAGCGUUAUCCGGAUUUACUGGGUGUAAAGGGAGCGCAGGCGGUUCUGCAAGUCUGAUGUGAAAGCCCGGGGCUCAACCGCGGGACUGCAUUGGAAACUGCGGGACUGGAGUGUAGGAGGGGUAAGCGGAAUUCCUGGUGUAGCGGUGAAAUGCGUAGAUAGCAGGAGGAACACCGGUGGCGAAGGCGGCUUACUGGACGAUGACUGACGCUGAGGCUCGAAAGCGUGGGGAGCAAACAGGAUUAGAUACCCUAGUAGUC
rnacentral:rRNA from 1 species